GACGAACGCUGGCGGCGUGCUUAACACAUGCAAGUCGAACGGAAAGGCCCUGCUUUUGUGGGGUGCUCGAGUGGCGAACGGGUGAGUAACACGUGGGUAACCUGCCCUGGACUUUGGGAUAACUUCAGGAAACUGGGGCUAAUACCGGAUAGGAGCUCCUGCUGCAUGGGGGUGGUGGGAAAGUUUCGGCGGUUGGGGAUGGACUCGCGGCUUAUCAGCUUGUUGGUGGGGUAGUGGCUUACCAAGGCUGUGACGGGUAGCCGGCCUGAGAGGGUGACCGGCCACAUUGGGACUGAGAUACGGCCCAGACUCCUACGGGAGGCAGCAGUGGGGAAUAUUGCACAAUGGGCGGAAGCCUGAUGCAGCAACGCCGCGUGCGGGAUGACGGCCUUCGGGUUGUAAACCGCUUUCGCAUGUGACGAAGCGUGAGUGACGGUAAUGGGUAAAGAAGCACCGGCUAACUACGUG
rnacentral:rRNA from 1 species